GACGAACGCUGGCGGCGUGCUUAAUACAUGCAAGUCGAGCGGUAAGGCCCUUUCGGGGGUACACGAGCGGCGAACGGGUGAGUAACACGUGGGUGACCUGCCCUCAGCUCUGGGAUAAGCCUGGGAAACCGGGUCUAAUACUGGAUAUGACUCCAUGACGCAUGUUGUGGGGUGGAAAGCCUUGUGCGGCUGAGGAUGGGCCCGCGGCCUAUCAGCUUGUUGGUGGGGNGAUGGCCUACCAAGGCGACGACGGGUAGCCGGCCUGAGAGGGCGACGGCCACACUGGGACUGAGACACGGCCCAGACUCCUACGGGAGGCAGCAGUGGGGAAUCUUGCGCAAUGGGCGAAAGCCUGACGCAGCGACGCCGCGUGAGGGAUGACGGCCUGUGUAAC
rnacentral:rRNA from 1 species